rnacentral:lncRNA from 1 species
AGUCAUUCAUGGCUAGGUGGUUGAUGCAUUCUCUAAUUUCCACUAUGUGUUGGGUUCAAUCCUUGAUGUUAGCAAUUUUUAAGUUCACUUGUUUUUUUUUUAAUUUAUAAUUUUCAUUCUAUUGAUUCUCUUUUUAUAACUUCUUCUGAUUUUAUUAUUUAUUUUUAUACCCUUUUAUUUAAUCCAUUUUUUAAAAAUAUUUGUAGAUUUUAUUUUUUCCAUUUUUAAUUUUUAAGUGUGUUGUAAAUACCUUUUUACUUAUUUGUUUAUUUACACUUGACUUAUUUUUGGGGUCUUUUUACAAUGAACUUUUAAACAAUACCAACUUAAUUUUCAAUAAUUUCAAACCUUUGUACAUU